GCCUGGGUGGCUCAGUCAGUUAAGCGUCCGUCUUCAGCUCGGGUCAUGAUCUCGGGGUUCGUGGGUUCAAGCCCCGCAUCGGGCU
rnacentral:tRNA from 1 species